rnacentral:rRNA from 1 species
AUUGAACGCUGGCGGCAGGCCUAACACAUGCAAGUCGAGCGAGCGGCGGACGUGUUAGUAAUGUAUGUGGCUCUGCCUGAUGGAUGGGGAUAACUACUGGAAACGGUAGCUAAUACCGCCUACCAUCAGCUGAACCCAUAUGGGAUUAGCUUGUAGGUGAGGUAACGGCUCACCUAGGCGACGAUCUCUAGCUGGUCUGAGAGGAUGAUCAGCCACACUGGGACUGAGACACGGCCCAGACUCCUACGGGAGGCAGCAGUGGGGAAUAUUGGACAAUGGGCGAAAGCCUGAUGUAGCCAUGCCGCGUGUAUGAAGAAGGUCUUAGGGUUGUAAAGUACUUUCAGCGGGGAGGCGUUACCCGCAGAAGAAGCACCGGCUAACUCCGUGCCAGCAGCCGCGGUAAUUC